rnacentral:rRNA from 1 species
CAGCACCUCAAGUGGUCAGGAGGAUUAUUGGGCCUAAAGCAUCCGUAGCCUGUUCUAUAAGUUUCCGGUUAAAUCCAUUAGCUCAACUAAUGGGCCGCCGAAAAUACUGUGGAACUAGGGAGUGGGAGAGGUAGACGGUACUCGGUAGGAAGGGGUAAAAUCCUUUGAUCUAUUGAUGACCACCUGUGGCGAAGGCGGUCUACCAGAACACGUUCGACGGUGAGGGAUGAAAGCUGGGGGAGCAAACCGGAUUAGAUACCCGGGGUAGUCCCAGCUGUAAACGAUGCAGACUCGGUGAUGCGCUGGCUUGUGGCCAGUGCAGUGCCGCAGGGAAGCCGUUAAGUUUGCCGCCUGGGGAAGUACGUACGCAAGUAUG